ACCAGUGACUCAAGCUUCGCUGGCACCCUCUGCUUAGCCAAGAGGAAGAGCUCCAGGUACUUAGGGGAGCUGAGGAUCACUCUCAAGUCAUCCUUGAGGACCUUUGGCAGGAUCUCCUCGAACACGGACUCUGGGACCUGUGCUCUUUCCACCAGCUGCAUGGUUAAGCCAUCUGUCUUAAUGGUCUCGUGUGCUAACUGAAAUCUUCUCAACGUUCCCAGAACCAUACAACACAACCUGUGAUCCCAUACCUUGGAGAGGAUGUCCACCAGGACCUUCAUUGGCUGGCCUUGAUGCUGCAUAAAGGAAUGUCUUCAAAAGACUGUAACAGCUGCCAGCAAAACCGAAAGGAGCUCAGAGGAGUGACCCAGGGGAGCCACGCUAGACCAAGCCAACUCCCCUUCUUCAAUUCAGCUUUCCCUCUACGUAAUCCUGGUC